CCUUGAGUGUCCAUGUGAAGGAUCUUCCAGUAGCCCAGAAGCAGAAAAUUAAACUGACUUGGUAUGCACAUGUGAAAUGAAGCAUUCAGAUCAGCCCAAGAACAAGCCAUUCGAAGCAAUGCCAUCAAAGCCAGAAUUGAAAAGUCGACAACAGAUCCCAAGUGUAGACUCUGCA